rnacentral:lncRNA from 1 species
UUCCAGCCAGUUAGUGUUAUGGAACAGGCAAUUGAAUUCCUCGCCUUCUUGUCAAUCGAGUCAUAUCAUGUAACCCUUUUAAAAGUUCAUGUAAUCAGCGCUUUAUGCUGAUCUGUGUUCCACGGACUGGGUGGUUUUUCUUUGAGAAAAGGUCUUAUUGACAUUUCUUCUGUUCCGCUCCUAGGAGGUCUGCAGGAAAAGGUUGUAUUGAGGAAUUGCAUCCCACAGGUUGUACGCAGCUUAAGAACCAAAUGCAGUGACAAGGCAAGGAAAGGCAGAGUCAAGGCAGCCACAGCAAAGCCAGCAGAGGACAGAAGGACGGUGAUGCGCCACAUGGAUCUGCUGCCUAAAAACAAGAGAAGCAACAAGAUUUCUCAGCUUGUGAGAGCAAACCACUCAAUGCAAUCAGACUCAGCCCUCUGUGGCUGCCCUUCCAACCCAUCCUGGUGACAUUUUUUUUUGUUGCCACACUCCACAGAGGGAUACCUAUGCCACUGUAGGGGGCUGCACUCCAGAUCUUCCUUGGAGAACAAAUGGGUGGCACAUUUACAAAC